rnacentral:lncRNA from 1 species
CCUUGACUUAGCUAUUUCAGAUACUUCUUUUUUCUAGAGCAAUUUUUCUCAUCCUUUUUGAGCUGAAAAGCUGCUUGAAACUUUUAACAGGAAAAAAGUUUUCCAGCCCAUCUUGAAUGGCAUUUGUUUGUAAUCCAAUAAAUUUAAACACCAGUUAUCCUCCUAGUCAUUUGCAGGCCUAAGACUAAGAACUGCCCAUCAUACAUCAUGCACAUUCAGGCACAGGCAGGCUUUGAAAAUUGUGCCCUACAGAGGCUGAGGUCAAUGCCUCCUCCUGAGGUGAGCAAGGCACUUGGUCCAGGUCUAUGACUCAACAAAAGAGGGAGGAGCCCCCACUGAUCUCUGCCUACAUUCUGCCCUAUGUCUGAGUCAGCCCCAAGCCCUGGUGUCCAAGCUCCAAGAACCAGGAUGUCCUCAAGACCCUGCAGCUCCACCACAUCGAUGGGCUCCAUAGGUCAUGUGUGAUUGAAAAAAUAGGAGAAAGAUGGAUAUUAUUGCCAGUUAUAAGCCAGAUAUCACUCGGGUCACAGGGCAUAAGGAACACUGUGGAGACACUCUGCCAGAGAAUGCAGGAGGAGUCUGAGCCUCCUACAGUGACACAGGUAAUUUGUGGUGACUAGUCAUGCAUCCUGUUGGCAUAAUAGCAUUGUCUUUGCUCUUACAUGCUUGCCUUCACUAAGGAUAAUCUGUAGCACUCUGCCAGAAAAUAUCUUGACCCACGCAGUUGCACCAGGCAAUUCUUUUUAUUUUUCUCCAUAUGAAAAUCUCUCAUUCACAUGAAAAUAUUGGACACACAGGUGCUUUUCUUUAGUGCUCAGUGCUAAAAAAUCCUUCUCAUUUCUUGCACAUUGCAUCAGCUCAGGCUAGAACUUGUCUGAAUAGUUAUUUUUCAGCAGGAUUCUAUGAUAUGAAUAUUAAUAGAUAUUAUGAAAAGAUUUUUUUAAACUUCUCUUUAUUUUUACAUUCAAUGCAUGAGGACAGACAAGAUGAACAUUCAUGACAAAAUAUAAAGAUACAUACUGUCCUUGAAACAGUUAAAAGAUAAAGUGUUCAAGAGUUUAAAAAAGUAUUUUAGAAAGAUUUUAUUUCCAAAAUUCAUCAUUACAGAAAAUUCAGAUCUUUUAGAAACAUAGUGUUUAAUAUCCUUGUGUAUUAAGCCAUAUUGUGAAAGUCUAUAGUUGCUUUUCAUCUUUAAGAAAUCUGUCUCUGCAUUACCAAC